rnacentral:lncRNA from 1 species
AAUUAGAAUUACAGUCUGGGAAAUUGCUGGAGCCUCAGCUAUAGUGGGGGAGGGGUGGUUCCAGGAGAUGUUCUGGAAUCUUGGGAGAGCAAGAGUUUUCUAUCAGAGAGAGGCAGUCAGCUCUCAAUCCUGAGACAGCCUAAGGAAAGGGCUGGUCAAGACUUUGCUCCUGAGGAAAGACUUACAUCUUUCUCGGUGAUUGGACACCCUUCCGCCCACCAAUUCUCAACUGAAGUGGCCUGUGAAGUAGAUGGGAAGAAGCUGACAUCACCUGACAGCUGCUAGUGCCAAGGGUCUGGACAGUGCCCAGGUGGCCCAGACGAGGGCCAUUCAAGCCUGAAUCUCUCAGGGGCCCAAGUUUGCCAAGCCCUGGGUUCCCCAACUUGAGGAAGGAGAUUAUAAUUGGAGAUCUUGGAGAAUUGGGACUAUUUUUCUAUAUGCAUCCCUAUUAUUUAGCAAGAUGCCUUGGACCCAUGCUCUCUAUCUCUUGUUUGGUCAUAAAUUCUUCAUAUCUCCAAAGAUCUACCAGGAUUGUGCCUGCCUGAAGAGUAUUGUCAAGUUAAAGAUUCAAAAUGUAUUUAAAUGGUGGAAAGUACUCUAGAAGAUCCUUUGUACCUUGCAACCAUAGAGUAGUAUGAGGAAGGACCAACAUAUAUGAAGACUCUAACCUCUCUCCAAUUCCUAUACCAGUGGAUAUGCUACACUCUACCAUAAAGUGUGACAAAGUUCUCCAAAAGACUUUAUUCGAGCAGGGAAGGAGACAUGGUUCAAGUUAUUCUUAUCCUGAUGUAACUUCCUUGUAGCAUCUCUCUUUAUUGAUAUGGUUACUGGUCACACAAAACAUGAGGCAAAUCCAUUUGGGAUUGCAAUCCUACAUCUCAAGGCCAUAGAAAUAGCUUUAUCCUUUCUUGUGAAACGGAAACAUUUCCAUUUAGAGAUAGCAUGGGUCAUGUACACCUAGCAUAAGUGCUAGAGUGUCUUUUGGAAAUAUCUUUUUUAUGCUAUGGCUAAAUAAAUAUCCUUUUGUUUACUUCUGAAUGAUAUAU